rnacentral:rRNA from 1 species
GAUGAACGCUAGCUACAGGCUUAACACAUGCAAGUCGAGGGGGCAGCAUUUCGCUAGCAAUAGUGAAGAUGGCGACCGGCGCACGGGUGAGUAACACGUAUCCAACCUGCCGAUAACUCGGGGAUAGCCUUUCGAAAGAAAGAUUAAUAUCCGAUGGUAUAUUAAAACCGCAUGGUUUUACUAUUAAAGAAUUUCGGUUAUCGAUGGGGAUGCGUUCCAUUAGUUUGUUGGCGGGGUAACGGCCCACCAAGACUACGAUGGAUAGGGGUUCUGAGAGGAAGGUCCCCCACAUUGGAACUGAGACACGGUCCAAACUCCUACGGGAGGCAGCAGUAAGGAAUAUUGGUCAAUGGACGAGAGUCUGAACCAGCCAAGUAGCGUGCAGGAUGACGGCCCUAUGGGUUGUAACUGCUUUUAUAAGGAAUAAAGUGAGUCUCGUGAGGCUUUUGCAUGUACCUUAUGAAUAAGGACCGGCUAAUUCCGUG